AGUUCAAGUCUGGUGCAUCAUACACAUAAAAAUUGUUACCCCUAAGAAAAAGAUUCAUACUUUCCAUUAUAAGUGACUUUGUUCUCUGCCAGCAGAAUGGCAUCUUUUUCAAAGUUUUGCUUAAAUUAUCAAAGUAAUGCCUAAGGACCCUAAUCAAGACCCCAGAGUACUGGGCAUUCCACAGACAAAUAACACAGAAUCUCCAUUCCACUGAGCUCAGAACAAAAUGUGGGUGGUUAAUAACAGAGACGUGAGGGGCAGAGAAGGGGAAAAGACAAGUUUACAGUAAAGACACAUGUUUAUGCGUAAAUUAGUCAUGACAGAAGUCACAAUUUCUAAACAGUCCUGAUUUGUAAGCAUCGUGGCAAUGGAAGGUUUUAAAGCAGAUAAACAGGUGAUCAAGGCUAGCACUGUUUGAGCAAAAGCAUUUGUUGAUGGCACAAUUCAAAUUUAGAUUUAAAAGGCUAGAUGUAACUUUAUUGUAGAAAGUUUGUGAUGUAAUUUUAUGCUUGAUUCAGUAGAGAAAGUACCAUGGAGAGGAGGUGAUGUGGAGUGACCAAGAAAUUAAGAAGAGAUUAAUGGCAGCAUUUUGAAUGGAUGUGAAAGGGGCAAGAUUGGGGGCAUCAAGGCCAGGAGAUUACAGAAAUUGUGGUGUGAGAUAGGGGUGAGGAGAAGAGUUUGGGCAGUUGGUCCAGACAGAAAAGAUUGGAUCUUUAGGAUGUUAGAGAUGAAGGAGAAAUACAAUAUAAACACAGUCUGGAUGUAUGGGCCAAGACAAAGAUGAUACCUAGAGUCUGUUUGCGCAUAUGGAGAUAUACCGUAAAGUUUGAUGGGAUGUAUACAUAUACACAUAUAUCAGAGUAUACUGUUCCUAAUUUGUAACAAAUAAUUAGUGAUUAUGACUGAUGCUGUAUUAUGGUAUUGAAAAAUAAUCCCAGAAGACUGACUAUGUCAAAUAGUUUAACAUGGGUUAUUAAAAAUGCAAAUGAUUGAUAUUAAAA